rnacentral:rRNA from 1 species
CAGGCCUCCCUCUUGCAAGUCGAGCGGUAAAGAGAAGCUUGCUUCUCUUGAGAGCGGCGGACGGGUGAGUAAUACCUAGGAAUCUGCCUGAUAGGGGGGGAUAACGUUCGGAAACGGACGCUAAUACCGCAUACGUCCUACGGGAGAAAGCAGGGGACCUUCGGGCCUUGCGCUAUCAAAUGAGCCUAGGUCGGAUUAGCUAGUUGGUGAGGUAAUGGCUCACCAAGGCUACGAUCCGUAACUGGUCUGAGAGGAUGAUCAGUCACACUGGAACUGAGACACGGUCCAAACUCCUACGGGAGGCAGCAGUGGGGAAUAUUGGACAAUGGGCGAAAGCCUGAUCCAGCCAUGCCGCGUGUGUGAAAAAGGUCUUCGGAUUGUAAAGCACUUUAAGUUGGGAGGAAGGGCAGUUACCUAAUACGUGAUUGUCUUGACGUUACCGACAGAAUAAGCACCGGCUAACUCUGUG